CCUUGUCACGCAUUCGUCACAGU
rnacentral:miRNA from 10 species